GAAGAACGCUGGCGGCGUGCUUAACACAUGCAAGUCGAACGGAAAGGCCCUGCUUUUGUGGGGUGCUCGAGUGGCGAACGGGUGAGUAACACGUGAGUAACCUGCCCUUGACUUUGGGAUAACUUCAGGAAACUGGGGCUAAUACCGGAUAGGAGCUCCUGCUGCAUGGUGGGGGUUGGAAAGUUUCGGCGGUUGGGGAUGGACUCGCGGCUUAUCAGCUUGUUGGUGGGGUAGUGGCUUACCAAGGCUUUGACGGGUAGCCGGCCUGAGAGGGUGACCGGCCACAUCGGGACUGAGAUACGGCCCAGACUCCUACGGGAGGCAGCAGUGGAGAAUAUUGCACAAUUGGCGGAAGCCUGAUGCAGCAACGCCGCGUGCGGGAUGACGGCCUUCGGGUUGUAAACCGCUUUCGCCUGUGACGAAGCGUGAGUGACGGUAAUGGGUAAAGAAGCACCGGCUAACUACGUG
rnacentral:rRNA from 1 species